rnacentral:lncRNA from 1 species
GUGGUAAAGUUCAGAUCUCAGAUACUAUCAGCCAUAGGUCUAGUAUAUUUGGUGUGUGGUAGGAUUGUAAGGUGUACAUGUCCAACUUGCAGGUGUCAUCUGACCUUGACCUUAUUUUCAAGGUUCAAUGGUUUAGUUUUUGUGUUUUGGUCUGUUUUAUUAUUAUACUGUAUGCAACAGGUCUACUAUAUUUGAUUUAUGGAAUGAUUGCAAGGUGUGAAAGUCCAACUAGCAGUUGUCAUAUGACCUUGACCUGAUUUUCAUGGUUCAGUGGUAAGAGUUCAAGUUUUUUGGGUUUUGGUCUUUUUUUUCUAAUACUAUAUGCGAUAGGUCAACUAGACAUGGUGGAUGGAAAUAUUUUAUGAUGUAAAUGUCAGUCUCACAGGUUUUAUUUGACCUUGACCCCAUUUCACAGUUAAUUGCUCAGUGUUUGUGUUUUUGUGUUUUGGUCUGUUUUUCUUAAACUAAAAGCAAUAGGUCAAGUAUAUUUUUUAGGGUGGAAGGAUUGUUAGCUGUAUAUGUUUGUCUGGCAGGUAUCAUCUGACCUUAACUUCAUUUUUGGUGGUUCAUAGGUCAAUAUUAAGUUUCAUGGUUAAGUUUGUUAUUUGGAUACUUUAAGCAAUAAGCCAACUAUAUUUAAAGCAUAGAUUGAUUGUAAGGUGUACAUGUCUGCCUGGUAUGGUUCAUCUGAAUGACCUUGGCCUCAUUUUUAUGGUUCAUUAGUUUUCUUGGUUAAGUCUGUUUCUUAGAAUUUAAAUGCAACAGAUCAACUAAGUUUAGUGUAUUCAAUGAUUGUAAGGUGUACAAAUAUUUCUCAUUUGGUUUAUCUGACCUUGACCUCAUUUUCUUGGAUCAUGUUAAGUUUAAGUGAUAGUUGUAGUUAAGCUUGAUAUUUACGAC